AUGUACAAUGUCAUUCACAUUGAUGAGAAGUGGUUCUACCGCACUAAAGGUACCCAGAACUACUACUUGGCACCUGAUGAAGAAGAACCCUAUCGCAGCACACAGAGCAAGGGAUUUAUCGAGAAAGUGAUGUUCUUGGCAGCAGUAGCAAGGCCUCGUUAUGAUGAUCAUGGUGUCAUGACUUUUGAUGGCAAGAUUGGAAUUUGGCCGUUCACAUAUCAGGACUUUGCAAAGAGGCGUAGCCCUUACCGAGAGAGGGGGGAAGAGGUAACCAAGGUUUUGCCGUCGGUGACGAAGGAUGUCAGUAGAGAUUAUAUGGUGAACAAGCUGCUACCUGCCAUCAAGGCUUUGUGGCCGGCUUCGGAACGCGGACGCAUAAUAUACAUUCAGCAAGAUAAUGCAAAGACCCAUAUUGCUGUGAAUGACAGUGUGUUUUGUGCAGCGGCACAGGCGGAUGGAUGGGAUAUUAGGCUUACAUGUCAGCCGCCGAACUCACCUGAUUUGAACAUUCUUGACUUAGGAUUCUUUGCUGCACUUCAGGCUUUUUUUGAGAAGAUGUCCCCCGGUAAAAUUGCUGAUAUUGUUGCAAAGGUGAAAAAAGCAUAUGACACCUACCCGGCUGAGAGAAGCAACCGUAUUUUUCUUACCCUUCAGUCAUGCAUGUGCGAGGUACUGAAGCAGAAAGGAGGUAACCGGUACAAGGUUCCGCACAUGAGGAAGUCAUUUCUGGCGGCACUCGAAAUGCUUCCGGACGUAGUACCCUGCGAUGCUGAUGUUGUAAUUGCUGCUAUUGAAGCCCUUCCAGAUGCUUGA
rnacentral:rRNA from 1 species